CAGGGUUUAGGUGGUUGGGGGAGGGGGGGGGGCAUGAAAGCUCGUCUUGCCCACCACCUUCUCUAGGACAGCCUCUGAAUUCUAGUGACAGCGUGUCAUUUUGUAAGCAACCCAUUGCUAAGCCAUCCAUAUUAAGUUUAAAACGUCUUCCUUAAAUUCAACUGUAAUUGUCGCCUUGAAACAUGAUGUUUCUGUUCACACGCUGUUCUGAGCCCUGUGGCCACAGAGAUCAAGUCCGGUCCAGUGUUCACUGGGCAGUCCUUGGGCUGUGUGAGGAGUUACAAUACCUUGCCCACUUGACUUUUCAAGUUCAGGAGUUUACUAGGAGAUUAGAAAGCAGGGUAUUCUCAGCUACUUCUAUUAUGCCUCUCCUGCUUGGUGGAUGGAACCAUCAGAUCCCCACACUGUGCUGGCAAAGCAAGUCCCCAGACAUGAAACACGACACCUCUGAAGAUUUUGACUGGAGGAUUGUUACCCAUUAACCCAGGUCCUUUCAGUAUGAUCAGGUGAUGGUUUGGGGGCUUCCUAGUGGCUCAGGCCAUGAAGAAUCCGUCUGCAAUGCGGGAGACCUGGGUUCAGUCCCUGGGUUGGGAAGAUCCCCUGAAGGAGGGCAUGGCAACCCACUCCAAUAUUCUUACCUAGAGAAUCCCCAUGAACAGAGAAGCCUGGCGGGCUAUAGUCCAUGGGGUUGGCAAAGAGUCAAACACAACUGGGUGACUAAGCGCGAACACACAGUCUUUAAUGGCAAACGUAAUUAUAAUAAAAAAUUUGGCUAUUAUUUCUUCAAAUUUUUUUUCUGCUCCCUUAUUUUCCUGUCUUGGACUUUAGUGAUAGGUUUGUUAGACUGCUUAAAUCUUCCAUUCUCUGCAUAUUUAUGGAGCAUAUAAAUGCUCCAUUCUCAGCAUAUUCAUAACAGCUGUUUUAGUGUUCAUAUUUCCUAAUUCCAUCAUAUUUUUCACUUGUGCCAUCAAUCCGCUUUUACUGAUUGACUUUUCUUCUAUUUAGGGAUCACACUUUCCUGCUUCUUUGCAUGUCUAGUAAUUUUUUAUUGGAUGUUGGAUUUUGUUGUAUCAUUUUCAAGAAAGUUGGACUUUGGGAACUCUCUGGUGGUCCUGUGGUUAAGACUCAACCAUCUCACUGUGGGGACCCUGGUCAGGGAACUAAGAUCCUGUAAGCUCUGGAGCACGGUCCAAAAAAAAAAUAAAAUAAAUAAAAAUAAGUUGGACUUUUUUUUUUUUAAUAAUAAGUUGGACUUUGUUCCUUUGUUCUGGCAGGCAGUUAAACUGCUUGCAGAUCAGUUUUUAAGUUUUGUUACAGCAGAUCUAAAGUAGCCUUUACUUUGGAGCUACGUUAGCCUCAUUACUAAGAUGUGCUUUUUUGGAGUAGUCUACAAGGUCUCUUUUUUCUGGCUGGUGGGUACAUGGAUUGAUAGCUCCGUGUGAGCUCUGGGAAUGAACUGGCCAACCACUUCACUAUAACUGUUCUUUUGACGGGCUAUGUGUAGUUUUACCCUAUGUAUGCACAGAUUGGUAUUCAGCCAUGAACAUUUCUGGAGUUCUUUCUCUACAGAGCUGUUUCCUCUGUGGUAAUCUGCCCAGCAAAUUCUAGUCACUUCAGCCUUCCCAAGUUCUGUUCUCUUGUCUCCUCAAUUCAGUAAGACUACUGAGUUACGUUUGGGUUUCUUCUCCCUACACCAUGGUCUUAAAAUUAACCCCUAUGAUAAAUGUUAAAACAGACAAGGGUUUGUUUUUCUUUUCUCAGGAAUCAUAGCCCUGUGCUAGCUAUUGCCCAAUAUCUGAAAACAGCUGUAGUGUAUAUUUUUGUCCACUUUUCUAGUCAUUUUUAGUGGGAGGGUAAUUCCAACUUCCAUUAUUCCCUCACGGACAAAAGCAGAAGGCCGCUACAAUUACAGUGAAAGGUUCAGUACAACUGUUAACUAUUCAGUAUAGCUAUGAGACCCCAGAGUAGUUUAUCUUGCUAAAAAAUUCUGUAGGAAGACUGCCAGCUGAAUGAAUAAUUAAUACAAUUUGUGUUCAAAGCAUGAUCCUUUCCAUUAGGAAAAGAUAAUGCUUGGACAUGACUGGCAAACUAUCUCUAUGGUUACAAUCUCUGGUACACUCCCUGCUUUAUAAAAUGAGUCCCAAUUUGAUUAUGAUACAGAACACUGUUAACAUCCCAGAAAGUUCCCUCUUGCCCCUGCCGAGUCAGUUCACACCUCCACUCCCAGAAGCAAGCACUGAUCUGAAUUCCAUCAUCACAGGUUUGUUUUGCCUAUUUAAGAAUUUUAUAUAAAUGGCAUCAUAUAGUAUAUAACUUUUGUGACCAGCCUCUUCCAUGCAAUAUAAUAUGCAUUGUGUGGAUCUGUACUUUACUCCUCUUUUCGUUGAAUAGAAUUCCAUUGUUUAUCCAUUCUUUUUAUGAAGGACAUCUGAACUGCUUCCAGUUUGGAGUUAAUACAGGUAAAGCUGGUAUAGCAAAUAUUCCUGUAUGAGGAUUUUGGUGAACAUAUUUUUUCAUUUUUCCUAGAUAAAUAUCUAGCAGUGGAAUUGUCAGAUCAUAGGGUAGAUACAUGUUACCUUUCUCCCAUAUUCAUUAAAAAAAUUUUUUAUUGGAGCAUGGUUGAUUUAUAAUGUUGUGUUAGUUUCAGAUGUACAGCAAAGUGAAUCAUAUAUAUUGAUCCGUUCUUUUUCAGAUUCUUUUCCCAUACAGGUUAUUUCAGAAUAUUGAGUAGAGUUCCCUGUACUAUACAGUAGGCUCUUGUCAUCUAUUUUAUAUAUAGUGGUGUGUAUAUGUUAAUCCGUAUCUCCUAAUUUAUUACUUGCCUCAUGUUUCCCCUUUGAUGAACCAUAAAUGUGAUUUCGAGAUCUGUGAGUCUGUUUUGUAAAUAAGUACAUUUGUAUCAUUUUUUACUACAUUCCACAUAUGGCUGAUAUCAUAUGAUAUUUGUCUUUGACUUACUUCACUUAGUAUGAUAAAUCUCUAGGUCCAUCCAUGUUGCUGCAAAUGGCAUUGUUUCAUUCUUUUUUAUGGCUGAGUAAUCAAUCCCUGGGCUGGGAAGAGACCCUGGAAAGGGAAAUGGCGACCCACUCCAGUUUUCUUGCCUGGGAAAUUUCAUGGAUAGACGAGUGUGGCAGGCUACAGUCCAUGGGGUCACAAAACAGUUGGACACAACUGAGUGACUAAACAACAACAACAUUCCAUUGUGUGUAUGUACUACAUCUUCUUUAUCCAUUCCUCUGUUGAUGGACAUCUGGGUUGCUUCCAUGUUCUGACUAUUGUAAACAGUGCUGCAGUGAACACUGGGGAGCAUGUAUCUUUUUAAUUAUGGUUUUUCUCCAGAUAUAUGCCCAGGCAUGGGACUGCUGAACCAUAUGGUAGUUCUAUAUUUAAUUUUUUAAGGAACUGUCAUACUAUUCUCCAAAAUAGUUGUAGCAAUUUACAUUCCCAUCAACAAUGUAAGAGGGUUACCUUUUCUCCAAACCCUCUCCAGCCUUUACUGUUUGUAGAUUUUUCUGAUGAUGGCCAUUAUGACUGAUGUGAGGUGAUACCUCAUGGUAGUUUUGAUUUGCAUUCUCUGAUAAUUAGUGAUGUUGAAUGCCUGUUCAUGUGCCUUUGGCCAUCCAUCUGUCUUAUUUGAAGAAACGUCUAUUUAGAUCUUCUGCCCAUUUUUUGAUUGGGUUGUUUGUUUUCUUGACAUUGAGCUGCAUGAGCUGUUUGUAUAUUUUGGAGAUUAAUCCCUUGUCAGUCUCUUCGCAGAUAUUUUCUCCUAUUCUGUGGCUUGUUUUUUAUUUUAUGGUUUCCUUUGCUAUACAAAAGCUUUUAAGCUUAAUUAGACCCUAUUUGUUUAUUUUUAUUUUCAUUACUCUAGCAGUCGAUCAAAAAAGAUACUGCUGAGAUUUAUGUCAGCGUUCUUCCUACAUUUUCCUCUAAGAGUUUUAUAGUAUCCAGUCUUAUAUUUAGAUCUUUAAUCCAUUUUGAGUUUAUUUUUGGUAUGGUGUUAGGGAGUAUUUUUAAUUUCAUUCUUAAAAAUAUGGAACGCUUCAUAAAUUUGUGUGUUAUCCUUCUGCAGGGGCCAUGCUUAUCUUCUCUGUGUCUUUCUAAUUUUAGUGUAUGUGCUGCUGAAGAGAGUACACAUAAUGCUUUUGAUUAAUUGAAAAAUAUAAGCUAAAAUGAAUAUGAGAUGCAGGAAGGUUGAGAUAACAUCUAUUUUGUGCCAUUGUUUUUACUCUUAUUACUUAGAACAAUGUCUGACUUAAAGCAAGUGCUCAAAAAAUAUUUGUUGAAUAUAUUAAAAAGAACAUCAUAAAAUUUUUAAAAGUGACUUAUACCUAAUAUAAGACCACUGUGUAAUCUCUUCCAAUUCUGCUGUUUUUGCAGAUAAUUUUAUAUACUCAAUUUCACCAUGAUUUUUCUUUAAUAGUAUUGUUCUUGUAUCAGAAUCUUAUUUGUCAAGCCCUACUUCCUUCUCCUAAUGCAAAACAAAAGUAUCAAUUUUAUGAAAUCUUCCUUUUCCAACUUGACUCACUAACAGUUUUAGAGAUAAAAUGGUAGUUUGUUUUUUUCUGUUUUCCUUCCUUGUUCUUAGUAUAUUUACGGAAUUAAAUUAACUGUUGUAUUAUUUACUUUUUAGUCCAAUUCUCAACUUUAUACUCAUUUUUAAGGCUGACACUCAUUAUUUCAAAAUCUGUGGAUUAGCUUGUCUUUAAACUCUCUGUGUAGUUGAUUCAUAGUCUUUUCAACAGUAAAACAAGUUCAUAAGUUGUUGUUGUUGUUGUGCCAUGCAGCAUGUGGGGUAUUAGUUCCCCAACCAAGGACUGAAUCUGUGUGCCCCCACACUGGAAGUUCAGACUCUAAACCACUGGACUUCCAGGGAAUUCCCCCACAGGUAUUUUAAAAUUAGACUUCUGUUUCUAAUUUUAAAGUGACUAAUUUUGUCACUCUAACUUGACUCUCUCAACAGUACUUAUUACAUAAUCUUAAGAAUGAUACAUAUUAAGUGAUUUACAGAAUCAUUAUUAAUGUCUUUCAAUUGGCUUUCUAAAAGAAAGCACAGUAAAUUCUUUUUUAAUUACUUUAAUACUUUCUAGGGAAUUCCCUGGUGGUCCAGUGGUUAAGACUUGGCGCUUUCACUGUUGUGGGCUCAGAUUCAAUCCCUGGUUGAGGGACUAAGAUCCUGCAAGCCAUGGGGCCUGGCCAAAAACAAAAUAAAAGAAAACUUUCUAUAAGUGUAUCAAUACAUGCCCUGUUUUUUGGAAUAAAAAUUCUAUGGUCUUUAUGUUAGAAACAGUUCAGGUUGUUAGAACUAGAAAAAUAACUGGUUAAUAAGUUAAGAGCUACAGCAAAGUAUAAGACUAUGAUCUGUCCACUGAAUAAUGAUUAAAAUAGUACAGUUCUAAAAUUUGAAAGAAAUUUAAGUUAUAUAAGAAAGGUAAUGCUGACUAUUUAUAACCUAAACAAUAUAUGGUUAAAUAUACUAUCAUAAUCCCUGAGACAAUAACUUUUUAACUCCUCUAGUUGGACAAAGGUAUACUAACUAUAAGAUGAUAUGCGUAUUAUUUCAAGAUCUAAAUAUACUCCCUGGAGUUGGGUCACUUAUCAUUUACUAUAUUAAGAACAAGUGAAAUGACAUGAUCAUAAUUUAUCCACCAAAAAACAAACAAAACCUUUUGGUUAGGGUCUAUGAAUUGGAAUCACUUCAUCAAGUAACACACUGUAUGGG